rnacentral:tRNA from 1 species
CAGAAGAUAGUUUAUGAUUAAAACACUAGUUUUGGGUAUUAGUAAAAAAUAUUAUUAUUUUCUUCUGA